GAUGAACGCUGGCGGCGUGCUUAACACAUGCAAGUCGAACGGAAAGGCCCGGAGUUUGUGGGGUGCUCGAGUGGCGAACGGGUGUGUAACACGUGAGUAACCUGCCCUUAACUGUGGGAUAACUUCAGGGAACUGCGGCGAAUACCGCGUAGGAGCUCCUGCUGCAUGUGGGGGGUUGGAAAGAUUCGGCGGUUUGGGAUGGACUCGCGGCUUAUCAGCUUGUUGGUGGGGUAGUGGCUUACCACGGCUGUGAAGGGUAGCCGGCAUGGGAGGGGGAACGGGGACCUGGGGACUGAGAGACGGAGCAGAAGCGAAUGGGCCGCAGCAGUGGGAAGCAUUGCGCAAUGAGGGGAAGCCAGAUGCGGCAGCGCCGCGUGCGGGAUGCUGGCUUUCGGGGGGUAAACCGAUUUGUAAUGUACUGAAGCCUGCGUGACGGUAACGGGUAAAGAAGCACCGGCUAACUACGUG
rnacentral:rRNA from 1 species